UACGUAGGGUGCGAGCGUUGUCCGGAAUUAUUGGGCGUAAAGAGCUCGUAGGCGGUUUGUCGCGUCGACUGUGAAAACUGGGGGCUUAACUCUCAGCUUGCAGUUGAUACGGGCAGACUUGAGUUCGGUAGGGGAGACUGGAAUUCCUGGUGUAGCGGUGAAAUGCGCAGAUAUCAGGAGGAACACCAAUAGCGAAGGCAGCUCGCUGGGACGGUAUUGACGCUAAGGCGCGAAAGCGUGGGGAGCAAACAGG
rnacentral:rRNA from 1 species